rnacentral:lncRNA from 1 species
UAUACUAUAGAUUGGUAGGAUUUCUUACUGGCUAAGACAUUAUUUGAUGCACUAUCGGUUACAAUUUGAAUGACAUUGACCUCCCUGAUACGCUCUACCAACUAUCCAAUAACUUAAAUGUCUCUUCGCCAGUUUUUGUGUAAUUGGAGGCAUCAAUAGAUUCAAUGAACACAGUACCCAUCAGAGAAUUUACAAAAAAGUUUAUAAGAGUCCUUUCCCUCCUGUCCUUCCAUUCAUCGCACAUUAUAGUACCUCCAGUCUUUUGCCCAUUCCUCUAUAUGGCCUUUCUGUGAAUUCUUCGUUUCUUGAACCUCUUUUUGAAGAAAAAGAACCCGUAAUUCAUACAUAGAAGGUGGUUUCAUGCCAGGGCCGUAUCGCCAAAUGGAUUCGAUCGCCACAGUAAAGCUAUCAUAAGUAGCAGCAUUGAAAGGUACUCCAGCAUCAUAAAACCAUUUUGCUAGAUCUCCGCAUGCUUUUUCUCUCAGCUCCUUUGUUAAACAUAAAAAUAUUUGGUAGAGAACGGUGUUUAAAUAUUUUUAUAUUCAACACUCCCCCUCACGUCUGAGCUCGAGACUUCUUAGUCGGCCCAUGACGUGGGCUUGAAUUAAAUGGGAGGAAAUUAAUAUGCUAGGAGCUAGCGUGACUCGAACUCAGGAUCUCCUGUUCUGAUACUAUGUGAAACAACCGUUGUACUCUAAAAGCCUAAGCUGGUAGAGAAUGGUGUUUUAAUAUUUUUAAAUUUAACAUCCUUUCUAUAAACUUCGUGAUAGUAGUUUGCUUCAUUUUUCCAUCCUUUCUACCUUGAACUACCU